CUAGUGUAAGUGCUUUGCUUUCAUAAUCGGGUUUUGCUAAGUAUUAAGUAUACAGUUCUGCACUUCUUCUAAUCAGUUUUGGGUAGGAAUGGGUAACGAAUCUCAAUCCUUGGAUCUCUGCCGAUUUGCUCCUCCGGUGAGAAACUUUGAUUUAAGGAGUAAGUGAUUAAGGAAAAGCUAUUUGGGAUUUUUGUUUAAGGUGAUGCUCAGGAGACGGUUCGAUGUUUAGAGGGACUCUGGGUAGCCAACUAUCAAGACAAAUUUGGAUUUUUUUUUUAAGCUUAUAAGUUUAUUAAGUAUGUUUCAAACCAGAUUGUAAUAAGGUUUUCAUUAUGCUAUUAUUACUUGAAGUAUAAGUGUGUUUCAGACCAGAUUGUAAUAAGGUUUUCAUUAUGCUAUUAUUACUUGAAGUAUUAUUAUUUCUACUGUAAUUACGAGAAGUUGAACAUGGGUUUUCUAAAUUAUAUAGUUUGUUUUCUAUGUUUUCGCAA